rnacentral:miRNA from 1 species
CAGCAGACACAUUCCAGCCAAUCAGCAGCAGACCCUCCCUCCCAGACCCUCCGACUUCCUGGACAGCAUCCAUUGUGAAGCUGCAUUCUUAGUGAGCUGUCCAGGAGGUGGGAGGGUCUGGGAGGGAGGGUCUGCUGCUGAUUGGCUGGAAUGUGUCUGCUG